rnacentral:rRNA from 1 species
GAUGAACGCUGGCGGCGUGCCUAAUACAUGCAAGUCGAACGCUGGAACUCUAGCUUGCUAGAUUGAAGGAGUGGCGAACGGGUGAGUAAUACAUAAGCAACCUACCCACGAAGACUGGGAUAAUCUCUGGAAACGGGGACUAAUACCGGAUAGGUAAUCGGAAGGCAUCUUCUGAUUAUUAAAGGUUAAAAACACUGGUGGAUGGGCUUAUGGCGCAUUAGUUAGUUGGUGAGGUAACGGCCCACCAAGACGAUGAUGCGUAGCCGGCCUGAGAGGGUGAACGGCCACAUUGGGACUGAGCAACGGCCCAGACUCCUACGGGAGGCAGCAGUAGGGAAGGUUCGGCAAUGGGGGAAACCCUGACCGAGCAACGCCGCGUGAGUGAUGACGGCGUUCGGGUUGUAAAGCUCUGUUGUAAGGGAAGAACGGUAGAUAGAGAAUAUCUAAAUGACGGUACCUUACCAGAAAGCCACGGCUAACUACGUG